rnacentral:rRNA from 1 species
UACGUAGGGCGCAAGCGUUAUCCGGAAUUAUUGGGCGUAAAGAGCUCGUAGGCGGUUUGUCGCGUCUGCCGUGAAAGUCCGGGGCUCAACUCCGGAUCUGCGGUGGGUACGGGCAGACUAGAGUGCGGUAGGGGAGAAUGGAAUUCCUGGUGUAGCGGUGAAAUGCGCAGAUAUCAGGAGGAACACCGGUGGCGAAGGCGGUUCUCUGGGCCUUACCUGACACUGAGGAGCGAAAGCGUGGGGAGCGAACAGG